CCUACGGGCGGCAGCAGUGGGAAUAUUUCACAAUGGGGGAAACCCUGAUGCAGCGACGCCGCGUGAGUGAAGAAGUAUUUCGGUAUGUAAAGCUCUAUCAGCAGGGAAGAAAAUGACGGUACCUGAUUAAGAAGCCCCGGCUACAUACGUGCCAGCAGCCGCGGUAAUACGUAGGGGGCAAGCGUUAUCCGGAUUUACUGGGUGUAAAGGGAGCGUAGACGGCAGCACACGUCUGGAGUGAAAUGCCGGGGCUUAACCCCGGAACUGCUGUGGAAACUGGGCAGAGAGAGUGCAGGAGAGGUAAGUGGAAUGCGUAGGGUAGCGGUGAAAUGCGGAGAUAUUAGGAGGAACACGAGUGGCGAAGGCGGCUUACUGGACUGUAACUGACGUUGAGGCUCGAAAGCGUGGGGAGCAAACAGGAUUAGAUACCCCUGUAGUC
rnacentral:rRNA from 1 species